UACGUAGGGUGCGAGCGUUAAUCGGAAUUACUGGGCGUAAAGCGUGCGCAGGCGGUGAUGUAAGACAGGUGUGAAAUCCCGGGGCUCAACCUCGGAACUGCAUUUGUGACUGCAUCGCUGGAGUGCGGCAGAGGGGGAUGGAAUUCCGCGUGUAGCAGUGAAAUGCGUAGAUAUGCGGAGGAACACCGAUGGCGAAGGCAGCCCCCUGGGUCGACACUGACGCUCAUGCACGAAAGCGUGGGGAGCAAACAGG
rnacentral:rRNA from 1 species